rnacentral:lncRNA from 1 species
AGUAACAUAACUUUGUUACUGCAUAGACAAACCCCUGCUCUACCAGAUUUAUAAAUGGCUGCACGUACCCUUCAUCUAACUCUGCUGAAAACUGCAGGCACAUAUGACAUUGGAGCCACCUAAUAGGAUCUCUUUCACUGCUCUUGUACUAAACUCCUAACCUCCAAUCUUCCCCUUGCCCAGGAUCUUCUACCGAGACCAAUUGGUUAUGCUACUGCAUUCAUCAUCUAAUUUUGGUGUAAUUCAUACAUGUGUAUUGUUCUAAAUAUGUGAUUUGAAACAUUGGGUGGAAGAAAUUGAAUUGUUUUUGCGGUCAUUUGAAAUUGAUUAGAA